rnacentral:rRNA from 1 species
GACUAACGCUGGCGGCGUGCCUAACACAUGCAAGUCGAACGAGGUAGCAAUACCUAGUGGCAGACGGGUGAGUAACACGUAGUCAACCUACCUUUUAGUGGGGGAUAACUAGCCGAAAGGUUAGCUAAUACCGCAUGUGAUCUCCGAGUGGCAUCACUUGGCGAUCAAAGCAGCAAUGCGCUAAGAGACGGGACUGCGUCCCAUUAGUUAGUUGGUGGGGUAACGGCCUACCAAGACUCCGAUGGGUAGCUGGCUUGAGAGAGCGACCAGCCACACU